CUCAGAACACUUUCCAUCAGUCUGCUGAUAUGUUACUACAACAUUUAUUUUGAUUGAUGUUCCUUGAAAAUUUUCACUCUUGGUGAAUUGGAAUUCAUCUAGAACCCUACAAGUCUGUAACAAUCAUCCCUUACAUGUCCUAUCUUUGAGCAAUGACUGCAAGUAACAUUAGGAUGAUACUUAGACUUCUUUGGCUUAGACUUGUGUUGUUGUGUAUUUCCUGAUUUUUGCUGAGCAGUCCACCCUAUUGCACUAGGUUAGUUUUCUCUGAAAAUUUAUUUGUGAUCCUACCAUGAAUGAUGUCCCAUCAGUUGGUAUUGUGGACUCAUAUAGAUUUUUCUUUGGCUCUCAUCUUGUAACAGGAGAGAGUAACACUAAUCCAUGCUAGGCAUAGGGCUGAGCAUGAGAAUGUUUCCUUUGCUUGUGCAUAAGCAUCGUUUAGCCUUAUUAGGAAUUAAAUGAUUCUUUGAUUUUCCAUAAACUUGGCCAUCUUCUCUUACCAUCACAAACACUUACAUAGUUGCACCCUAAGUAUGAAUUAAGUGAAUCCAGCCUAUCCCAAAGACUCUUAAGUAUGGUAAAAUAACUUGAUAUGCGGCUGUUUCCUUGAUAUGCUUUUGAAAUUUCCUUCUGUAUGUGAUAUAAUCUUGCUCCACUAGACUGCCCAAACCUGUGUUCCAUGCUGUUUCAAAGGUACUUAGUAUUCUUUCAAUAGAUGACAUUGUUACAUAUCUCUUUGGUCAAGAAUUCAGUAACCAAGAGGUGACUAUCUCAUUGCACCUACUCCAUAAUGGAUAUUCUUUAUCAUUUAUUGUUGGUUCAACAACAGAUCAGUUGAUGAAUCCAAGUUUGUUCUUGGCCAAAAUUGCAAUGAGGACAGACCUCUUCCAUCCUGGAAAUCCUCUUCCAUCAAAUGGUGGACUCACAAGCCCCAUACUUGGAGUAUCAGAAGAGUGCAAGUGAUAGGAAUGAUUGGAGUCAUUGCUGACUGCACUGGUUGUGGAUUUAGAUAUUAUGAUGGCAGUUGUUUCUUCAGUACUGGUCAUGGUUAAAUCCAGAAAUGGAUGAGGAAGAAGAAAUCAGACAAAAUUUUGAGAUGAG
rnacentral:lncRNA from 1 species